rnacentral:rRNA from 1 species
CCUGGUGGCCAUUGCGAGGAGCCUGAACCCGAUCCCAUCCCGAACUCGGCCGUUAAACUCCUCAGCGCCGAUGGUACUAUGUCUCAAGACC